GCCAGGUGUGGUGGUGUACACCUGUAAUCCCAGCUUCUUGGGAGGCUGAGGCAGGAGAAUAGCUUGAACCCAGGAGGCAGAGGUUACAGUGAGCUGAGAUCACAGCACUCCAGCCUGGGUGACAGAGCAAGACUCUGUCUCAA
rnacentral:SRP_RNA from 2 species